AUAUCAAUAAGCGGAGGAAAAGAAACUAACAAGGAUUCCCCUAGUAACGGCGAGUGAAGCGGGAAGAGCUCAAAUUUGAAAGCUGGUACCUUCGGUGCCCGCGUUGUAAUCUCGAGAAGUGUUUUCCGUGCUGGACCAUGUACAAGUUCCUUGGAAUAGGACGUCAUAGAGGGUGAAAAUCCCGUACUUGACAUGGACGCCCAGUGCUUUGUGAUACACUCUCCACGAGUCGAGUUGUUUGGGAAUGCAGCUCAAAAUGGGUGGUAAAUUCCAUCUAAAGCUAAAUAUUGGGGAGAGACCGAUAGCGCACAAGUA
rnacentral:rRNA from 1 species